rnacentral:sRNA from 1 species
GGGAGGUCGCUCAUCCGCUCUCCCCUUCGCCAGUCUUCGCUCCAUCUGCCUUCCACAGCGCCACAGUCCCCUACGCCUGCG